UUUUUUCUAAUGCUAGGAUGUAUAGUGUUAUUGAUAACAGCUCUGACUCUGGAAUCAGAGAGAUCCGAAUGAAAACACUAGCUCCUCUACUUACCACUUAUGAGACAUUGAAAGAUAAUCCUUUUUGUCUCAGUUUCUUCAUCUAUAAAAUGCAAGUAAUAAUAGCAGCUAACCAUGUGAAUUUUUGUAAUAUAUGUAAAUGCUAGGUACAGUGUGUGAAAUACAGUAAAAGUUGAAUAAAUGUUAAAUAUACUUGAUUGAAAGCCCUUAAAGGAUGGAAAAUAUACUUUGUCACCUUUGUUCUUUCCUUACUAUGCCUAACACAAUGUGUUGUACAUUCUAGGUGUUCAAAAUGCUUGUUGAAGGCUGGACAUGGUGGCUCACGCCUGUAAUUCCAGCGCUUUGGUAGGCUGAGGCAGGUGGAUCACCUGAGCUCAGGAGUUCAAAAUCAGCCCAGGAAACAUGGCUAAUCCGACUCUACAAAAAAUACAAAAAAUAUCUGGGCAUGGUGAUACUUGCCUGUAGUCCCAACUACUCAGGAGGCUGAGGCAGAACAAUCACUUGAGCUGGGGAGGUGAAAGUUGCAGUGAACUGAGAUUGUGCCAUGGCACUCCAGCCUGGGGAAUAGAGUGAGUGAGACCCUGCCUGAGACUGGGUAAUUUAUAAAGAAAUUGACUUGAGGUUCUUCAGGCUGUACAGGAAGUAUAGUGGCUUCUGCUUCGUGGGAGGCCUCAGAAAGCUUCUAAUCAUACCUGCAAGGUGGAGACAAGAUGGCCGAAUAGGAACAGCUCCGGUCUACAGCUCCCAGCGUGAGCCACGCAGAAGACAGGUGAUUUCUGCAUUUCCAUCUGAGGUACCGGGUUCAUCUCACUAGGGAGUGCCAGAAAGUGCGUGCAGGACAGUGGGUGCAGCACACCGUGCGCGAGCCGAAGCAGGGUGAGGCAUUGCCUCCCUCGGUAAGCGCAAGGGGUCAGGGAGUUCCCUUUCCUAGUCAAAGAAAGGGGUGACAGACAGCACCUGGAAAAUCGGGUCUCUCCCACCCUAACACUGCGCUUUUCCGAUAGGCUUGAAAAACGGCGCACCGGGAGAAUAUAUCCCGCACCUGGCUCGGAAGGUCCUAGGCCCACGGAGUCUCGCUGAUUGCUAGCACAACAGUCUGAGAUCAAACAGCAAGGCGGCAGCCAGGCUGGGGGAGGGGCGCCUGCCAUUGCCCAGGCUUGAUUAGGUAAACAAAGCAGC
rnacentral:lncRNA from 10 species